UACGUAGGCAGCAAGCGUUGUUCGGAGUUACUGGGCGUAAAGGGUGUGUAGGCGGUUGGAUAAGUGUGGUGUGAAAUCUCCCGGCUUAACUGGGAGGGUGCGCUACAAACUGUCUGACUAGAGUGUGGGAUGGGUAAGUGGAAUUCCUGGUGUAGCGGUGAAAUGCGUAGAUACCGGGCCGAACACCAGUGGCGAAGGCGACUUCCUGGCCGACGACUGACGCUGAGGCGCGAAAGCGUGGGGAGCGAACGGG
rnacentral:rRNA from 1 species